UUCGGUGGUCAUAGCAUCAGGGAAACGCCCGGUCACAUUCCGAACCCGAAAGCUAAGCCUGAUUGCGCCGAUGGUACUGCGAGGGGGACCUCGUGGGAGAGUAGGUCGCUGCCGGGA
rnacentral:rRNA from 1 species